AGCGAACGCUGGCGGCAGGCUUAACACAUGCAAGUCGAGCGGGCACCUUUCGGGGUGUCAGCGGCGGACGGGUGAGUAACGCGUGGGAACGUGCCCCCUGGUUCGGAAUAACUCAGGGAAACUUGAGCUAAUACCGGAUACGUCCUUUUGGGGAAAGGCUUGCUGCCGGAGGAUCGGCCCGCGUCUGAUUAGCUAGUUGGUGAGGUAACGGCUCACCAAGGCGACGAUCAGUAGCUGGUCUGAGAGGAUGAUCAGCCACACUGGGACUGAGACACGGCCCAGACUCCUACGGGAGGCAGCAGUGGGGAAUAUUGGACAAUGGGCGCAAGCCUGAUCCAGCCAUGCCGCGUGAGUGAUGAAGGCCUUAGGGUUGUAAAGCUCUUUUAUCCGGGACGAUAAUGACGGUACCGGAGGAAUAAGCCCCGGCUAACUUCGUG
rnacentral:rRNA from 1 species